GGUAUGGUAGCCGAGUAGGCAGUGGGUUGUAGCCCCGAAGACAAAGGUUCCAGUCCUUUCCUUAUCA
rnacentral:tRNA from 1 species